GGGUUUAUUAAUUAAAAUUUUUGAAUAAAAAUUUUUCGAAUUUAAAAGAGUUAUGAAAAUAUAUAUAUUAUUGUAAAAUAAAUAUUUUAAAUAUUUUUAUUGAAGUGAAAUGCUAUUCGAUUUUAAAUAUAUCUAGUUUUUUAAGAAAAAGAUUUAAUCUUAUUUUUAUUUAAUUAUAAUAUUAAAUUUUUAUUAUUAUAAUAGUAAAUUUUCAUAUUUUAAGGGAUGAGCUUUAAAAUAAAUUUAUAUAAUUUUAUAGGAAAAAUUUAAUAAAUAGAAUUAUAAGUUUGAAGUUUUUAUAGUGUUUUAUAACAAGUUAAAUUGAUUUUAAGAUUUUUAUAAAGUUUAUAUUAUUUAUUAAAAUAUAUAUUUAAAUUAUUUAAGUUUAGAAAUAAUGAUAAAAUUAGUAUAAAUUUAUAUUAUUUAUUAUAAUAGAAAUUUCUAGGUUAAAUAAAGGAAUUCGGCAAAUGUAAUUUUCACCUGUUUAUUAAAAACAUGGCCUUUUGAGUAUAAUUUAAGGUCUGACCUGCCCUAUGAGGAUUAAAUGGCCGCGGUAUUUUGACCGUGC
rnacentral:rRNA from 1 species